AUUGAACGCUGGCGGCAGGCCUAACACAUGCAAGUCGAACGGUAACAGGAAGCAGCUUGCUGCUUCGCUGACGAGUGGCGGACGGGUGAGUAAUGUCUGGGAAACUGCCUGAUGGAGGGGGAUAACUACUGGAAACGGUAGCUAAUACCGCAUAACGUCGCAAGACUAAAGAGGGGGACCUUCGGGCCUCUUGCCAUCGGAUGUGCCCAGAUGGGAUUAGCUAGUAGGUGGGGUAACGGCUCACCUAGGCGACGAUCCCUAGCUGGUCUGAGAGGAUGACCAGCCACACUGGAACUGAGACACGGUCCAGACUCCUACGGGAGGCAGCAGUGGGGAAUAUUGCACAAUGGGCGCAAGCCUGAUGCAGCCAUGCCGCGUGUAUGAAGAAGGCCUUCGGGUUGUAAAGUACUUUCAGCGGGGAGGAAGGCGAUAAGGUUAAUAACCUUGUCGAUUGACGUUACCCGCAGAAGAAGCACCGGCUAACUCCGUGCCAGCAGCCGCCGUAA
rnacentral:rRNA from 1 species